rnacentral:rRNA from 1 species
AGAGUUUGAUCAUGGCUCAGAACGAACGCUGGCGGCAUGCCUAACACAUGCAAGUCGAACGAGACCUUCGGGUCUAGUGGCGCACGGGUGCGUAACGCGUGGGAAUCUGCCCUUGGUUCGGAAUAACAGUGAGAAAUUACUGCUAAUACCGGAUGAUGACGUAAGUCCAAAGAUUUAUCGCCCAAGGAUGAGCCCGCGUAAGAUUAGCUAGUUGGUGGGGUAAAGGCCUACCAAGGCGACGAUCUUUAGCUGGUCUGAGAGGAUGAUCAGCCACACUGGGACUGAGACACGGCCCAGACUCCUACGGGAGGCAGCAGUGGGGAAUAUUGGACAAUGGGCGAAAGCCUGAUCCAGCAAUGCCGCGUGAGUGAUGAAGGCCUUAGGGUUGUAAAGCUCUUUUACCAGGGAUGAUAAUGACAGUACCUGGAGAAUAAGCUCCGGCUAACUCCGUG